GCUUUCGGCAUGUAUGGUGCGAUCGUAAGAGUGAAAGAGAAAAUUUGCGCACGGAGAACCCCAUCAGAGCUAUGGCGUGUGGCGCGUUGUGUGCCGUUAGUCCCUCGGGAUGGGAAUCCCUUCCCGUAUUCCGCACAUACGAAAGUCCGACGACCGUCGGUGCAACGCGGGAGAGGCAAUCGACUCGUGAGAACAAGUGGAAUACAAGUGUCGCACCGUUACUCCCUCGGGUAUACAACAUCUCGGUAGUGCAAG
rnacentral:misc_RNA from 1 species